GGAGAGGUCGCCUAGAGGCCGAGGGCGACGGUUUGCUAAACCGUUAAGGGGUAACCCCCUUCGAGGGUUCGAAUCCCUCCCUCUCCGCCA
rnacentral:tRNA from 1 species